rnacentral:rRNA from 1 species
GUGAGGAAUAUUGCGCAAUGGAGGCAACUCUGACGCAGCCAUGCCGCGUGCAGGAAGAAGGCGCUACGCGUUGUAAACUGCUUUUAACCGGGAAGAAACCCCAGGACGUGUCCUGGGUUGACGGUACCGGAGGAAUAAGCACCGGCUAACUUCGUGCCAGCAGCCGCGGUAAUACGAAGGGUGCAAGCGUUAUCCGGAUUCAUUGGGUUUAAAGGGUGCGUAGGCGGAGCGUUAAGUCAGUGGUGAACUCCUGCAGCUUAACUGUAGACUUGCCAUUGAUACUGGCGCUCUUGAGUGCGCUUGAAGUGGGCGGAAUGUGCCGUGUAGCGGUGAAAUGCUUAGAUAUGGCACAGAACACCAAUUGCGAAGGCAGCUCACUAAGGCGAUACUGACGCUGAGGCACGAAAGCGUGGGGAUCGAACAGGAUUAGAAACCCCAGUAGUCC